rnacentral:rRNA from 1 species
CUACGGGCCGCUCCAGUGAGGAAUAUUGCACAAUGGGGGGAACCCCUAUGCUGCAACGCCGCGUGGAGGAUGACGCAUUUCGGUGUGUAAACUCCUUUUAUAUGUCAAGAAAAUGACGGUAGCAUAUGAAUAAGCACCGGCUAACUCCGUGCCAGCAGCCGCGGUAAUACGGAGGGUGCAAGCGUUACUCGGAAUCACUGGGCGUAAAGGACGCGUAGGCGGGUUGGAAAGUCAGGUGUGAAAUCCUACAGCUUAACUGUAGAACUGCACUUGAAACUUCUAAUCUAGAGUAUGGGAGGGGGAGAUGGAAUUAGUGGUGUAGGGGUAAAAUCCGUAGAUAUCACUAGGAAUACCUAAAGCGAAGGCGAUCUCCUGGAACAUUACUGACGCUAAGGCGUGAAAGCGUGGGGAGCAAACAGGAUUAGAUACCCCCGUAGUC